CCCUCCUGUCUUUUUCCUCCAGAUAAACAUCGAGGAUCUUGAGGAUGACCUUGUGGUAAAUGGGGAGAAGUCUGACUGUACCCUGCCGGACUCUGUGUCAUCAGGGAACAAAGGAAGGGCUCAGCGUGGAAACUCAGAGACGAAGCAAGAUGGGGAUGUGGCCAAGGCAGGGUUCCCAGAACAGUCUAAUGCAAGUGGCAAACUCCGAAAGAAGAAAAAGAAGCAGAAAAAUAAGAAAAGCUGCACAGGAGAAUCCUCGGAAAAUGGGCUAGAAGAUAUUGAUCGCAUCUUAGAGAGGAUUGAAGACAGCAGUGGGGUCAUCCACCCAGGCCCCCCUCCACUGAAUUCCAGGAAGCAUGUCCUCUAUGUGGAGCACAGACACUUGAAUCCAGAUACAGAACUGAAAAGGUAUUUUGGUGCUCGAGCAGUCCUGGGAGAACAAAGGUGAGGCCCUGGUCAAUCUGUGUUCUU